GCCGCCGCAGUCAGAUUAUAAUCGAUGGUUACUGCUUUAUCUUUCCUGGUUGAUGCAAUCUGGCCUCCCUAUAUAGCAAAAUCAUCAGGUGUUGUAGAACGAUCGUUGGCUGUUCAGAGGAUUUCGGAAGACAAUUGGAAGCAUCAACAAAUCAGGAAUUGAAUCAAAGAAUUCCUCAUUUUAAUCUUAAAUCCAAGAUCCUUUGUACUAAAAAAAAUGGCAACAAGUCUUCAUCUCAUCAGGCUCAUUCGACUCAAAGAACCGGUUACACUGCUAAAAAAGUGGUCACUGGCCAUCGUACAUCGCCAAAAUUGUUAAGGUUUGGUAAUAAGAUGAUGGCUAAGGUUAGGUGGUAUUACCGACCUGAGGACACAGAAGACGGCAGGAGGCUGUUCCAUGGAGAAAAGGGUUCGGUAAUGAGAUGAUGGCUAAGAUUAGAUGGUGUUACCGGCCUGAGGACACAGAAGAGGUAGGAGGGUUUUCCAUGGAGAAAAGGGUUCGGUAAUAAGAUGAUGGCUAAGAUUAGAUGGUAUUACCGGCCUGAGGACACAGAAGACGGCAGGAGGCCGUUCCAUGGAGAAAGAGAGGUUUUUUAGCAAUCAUUUCGAUUUGCGAAGCACAGAGAUCAUUCAAGGAGAGUGUAGUUCAUACUUUACAGAAGUAUAUAGCACACAAUUGAAUCACAAUCGAGUUUUAACGGCGUAGUUUCUAAGCUUUAGUUGAAUAACAAGUGUACAUAAAUGAAUCUUGAAGAUUAUUAAUUAAAGUUGUAGUUAUCUUUAUUUUUUUAUGAUAAAUUUCUUAACAUUUGUGGAUUGAUGAUGAAAAACG